CUCAAAUCAGGUGGGACUACCCGCUGAACUUAAGCAUAUCAAUAAGCGGAGGAAAAGAAACUAACAAGGAUUCCCCUAGUAACUGCGAGUGAAGCGGGAAGAGCUCAAAUUUAAAAUCUGGCAGUUCUUGAAGCUGUCCGCAGUUGUAAUUUA
rnacentral:rRNA from 1 species